rnacentral:lncRNA from 1 species
AAAUUGGCAAAAUAUUUAAGAAGACACAUCAACCAAGAUGGUAUACAGAUGGUACAUAAACACAAGAAAAGAUGCUCAACAGCAUUACUUAUUAGGGAAGUGUAACCUAAAACCACAGUGAAAUACCACUACACUCCCAUUAAAUGACUAAAAUUAAAAAUAAUAAUCAUACCCAAUGAAGCAACUGCAGCACUUAUAUACUGCUGGUUAAAAUGUAACAUAGUACAACCACUUUGGAAAGCAGUUUGACAAUUUCUUAAAUAAUUAAGUAUAUACCUACCAUAUGACUAAGCCAUUCACUCCUAUGCAUUUACUCAAGAGAAAUGAAAACUAUGUCCACACAGACUUGUAAACAAAUGUUCACAUCAGUUUUAUUUGUAAUAGCCAAAAGCUGGAAAUACAAAUUUCCAUCAAAACAUGAAUGGAUAAACAAAUUCUGGUAUGUCCAUAUAAUGAAAUAACACUUAGCAAUAAAAAGGAAUGAACAUAGACGCAUAUAACAACAUGAAUGAAUCUCAAACUUAUUAUGCUGGAUGGAAGGAGCCAAACAAGAGUACCUAUAGUAUUAUUCCAUGUGUAUAAAAUUGUAGGAAACGCAAACUAAUCUAUAACAAUAGAAAACAGAUCCAUGAUUGCCUGUGGAUGUGGGAAGAAUGUGGGGAAAGGGGGCUGAAUGACAAAGAGGCAUAAGGAAACUUUUUUGGGGUGAUUGAUAUGUUCAUUAUUUGUAUUGUCAUGAUGGUUGGAAAGGUGCACACGUCAAAACUCAUCAAAUUGUACACUUUAAACAAGUUCCACUUUCUGUAUGCUAAUUCUACCUCAUUAAAACUGUAAAAUAUGUUUUGGGGACAAUGGGAGAAAUUUGGAAAUGGACUGGAUAUAUCAUAGAAUUAGAUUGAUAAUGAUAUUCCAGGUAUGUGGGAGAAUGUCCUUAUUUUUAGGAGAUGAAUGCUCAAUUAUUUAUGGUUAUAAUGUUAUAUCUAUAACUUACCACUGGUAUUUCAGGAAAAAUUACAUAUAAAUUGUUAAAUCUAGAUGGAUGUUAUAUAGGUUGUACUGUGUUUUCAAUAUUUCUACAUGAUUGAAAAUACACAUAAUUAAGAUGUGAGGGAAAUAAUGUUAUAUUGUUUUAUUGUCCAUCCUCUUCUUUGGGUAUAUAUAUAUAUAAUCUUUAUUAACCUGGAAUGCAACCAAAUCUUCUCUGGGAAAGUCUCCAGGGAGGGAGACAUUCUCUAUCUUUACUAUCCUGGAAUGUAAAUAAAUCUGAGCAAAUUGCUUGUUAAUGUCUAAACAUGAAGAACAUGAGAUUCAAGGAGAAUUGUCUCUGAAGACAAGGCUAGAGUCAAUCACACAAAACUGAAAAGAAUAAUGAUGUGAAAUGGAUGUUGAUUGGUAGAAGAUGAAUGUAGAAGGUGACAAAGACAUCUUACAUAUGCAUAAUUGAUGUCCCUGAAGAAGAGAAGAAAUGGAUCAGAAAAAAUGUUAAGCAAAAUAAAACUUCCUUGAAAUGAAUGAUUGGAAUGGCUCACUAUAACUCAGGUAAAAUUAAUACACAAAGAUCAGGACCAAAGCAUAUGCUUCCAUAGAUCCUUAACUUCAAGAAUAAAAAAAGAAUCAUAUGGCAGAAAGGCACAUUAUAUACAAGAAAAAAGAGAGCAAGUUUGUCUAAGACUUCUUAAUAACAUCACUCAAUUUUAGAAGAGCAGCAUCUACCAAAUUCUCAGGAAAAGAAAGUAUAAAUAUGUCAAUCAGGGAAGCAUAAUAACUAUGAGCAUUAUGGAAUAAGGGAUGCAUGCACAAUUUAUAGAGGUAGCUGGGGAAGGUUUAGAAGGGGGAGUUAGAAGACUAAAGAAAUCACUAAACCAGCCCUUUUGAGACAUUAGCAUGGGUGGAUAAAUCAGAGCUUUCAGGAAAAUCUGAGAAGCCAGGCACAUCUAGCUGCUGAUGUGGGACUGCCAUGAGAAGCUGGUGGAGAAGUCCAUGAGAAGCUUUUGUGAGCCUGCAGCCAAGCAUCUGGUGGUAGACCUGGGGCUGCCCAAUUUGUGGUACUUUGUUAUAGCAGCCCGAGGAAAGAAAUAUGCUUCUUAGUCAAAUCUAUGAUAGGUGGUAGUGUGUACAUCUUUUAUAGAUGAAAACCAUCAGGACAGAGGUUAACUAACUUUCCCAAGGUCACAUAAACUAGUAAAUUGGUAGAGCCAGGAUUGAAACCCUGGCAGAUGGGUUCCUGAGCCUAUCUACCUAACCACUAUGCAAACUAUCUUUUAAUAUUUUUAGCAGCAUUGUUCCCAGUGACAAAAAAGGGUUGAAAAUGGGAGUGAAUAAAUUUUAACAAUGCAAAUAGUUUAAUACAUUAUUGUACAUCCACCCCAUAAACUAUCAUGCAACCAUUCAAAACAAAUAUUGUUGAAUAAUAAUAAAGCAAGCUGCAGAGAUGGUUGUAUGUUAUGAUCCCAUUUUUGAAAAUCAAAGGAGGAAACAAUCUUAUAUAACUUCUGAUUACAAGCAUGGGAACGUAUGUAUGUCUAUAUAUGAUUAUGAGCACAGAGCAGAGAUUAAAACAUGAAAGUGUUCACAGUAGUUUAUUAGUAUUGGUCAUCUGUUAGAGAAGAAUAGUGGAGG